rnacentral:rRNA from 1 species
GAUGAACGCUGGCGGCGUGCCUAAUACAUGCAAGUCGAGCGAACAGACGAGGAGCUUGCUCCUCUGACGUUAGCGGCGGACGGGUGAGUAACACGUGGAUAACCUACCUAUAAGACUGGGAUAACUUCGGGAAACCGGAGCUAAUACCGGAUAAUAUAUUGAACCGCAUGGUUCAAUAGUGAAAGACGGUUUUGCUGUCACUUAUAGAUGGAUCCGCGCCGCAUUAGCUAGUUGGUAAGGUAACGGCUUACCAAGGCAACGAUGCGUAGCCGACCUGAGAGGGUGAUCGGCCACACGGGAACUGAGGCACGGUCCAGACUCCUACGGGAGGCAGCAGUAGGGAAUCGUCCGCAAUGGGCGAAAGCCUGACGGAGCAACGCCGCGUGAGUGGUGAAGGUCUUCGGAUCGUAAAACUCUGUUAUUAGGGAAGAACAAAUGUGUAAGUAACUAUGCACGUCUUGACGGUACCUAAUCAGAAAGCCACGGCUAACUACGUG